rnacentral:rRNA from 1 species
CCUACGGGAGGCAGCAGUGGGGAAUAUUGGACAAUGGGGGGAACCCUGAUCCAGCGACGCCGCGUGAGUGAAGAAGUAUUUCGGUAUGUAAAGCUCUAUCAGCAGGGAAGAAAAUGACGGUACCUGACUAAGAAGCCCCGGCUAACUACGUGCCAGCAGCCGCGGUAAUACGUAGGGGGCAAGCGUUAUCCGGAUUUACUGGGUGUAAAGGGAGCGUAGACGGCAGCACAAGUCUGGAGUGAAAUGCCGGGGCUUAACCCCGGAACUGCUUUGGAAACUGUGCAGCUAGAGUGCAGGAGAGGUAAGUGGAAUUCCUAGUGUAGCGGUGAAAUGCGUAGAUAUUAGGAGGAACACCAGUGGCGAAGGCGGCUUACUGGACUGUAACUGACGUUGAGGCUCGAAAGCGUGGAGAGCAAACAGGAUUAGAUACCCCGGUAGUC